rnacentral:rRNA from 1 species
GAUGAACGCUGGCGGCGUGCCUAAUACAUGCAAGUCGAGCGAACGGACGAGAAGCUUGCUUCUCUGAUGUUAGCGGCUGACGGGUUAGUAACACGUGGAUAACCUACCUAUAAGACUGGGAUAACUUCGGGAAACCGGCGCUAAUACCGGAUAAUAUUUUGAACCGCAUGGUUCAAUAGUGAAAGACGGUUUUGCUGUCACUUAUAGAUGGAUCCGCGCUGCAUUAGCUAGUUUGUAAGGUAACGGGUUACCAAGGCAACGGUGCAUAGCCGACCUGAGAGGGUGGACGGGCAGAAUGGAACUGAGAAAAGGUCCCGACACCUACGGGGGGCCACAGUAGGGAAUCUUCCGCAAGGGGGGAAAGGCGGAUGGAGGAAAGCCGGGUGAGGGAUGAAGGUGUUCGGAUGGGAAAACUCUGUUAUUAGGGAAGAACAAAAGUGUAAGUAACUGGGCAAAUAAUGACGGUACCUAAACAAAAAGCCACGGCUAACUACGUG